AUUGAACGCUGGCGGCAGGCUUAACACAUGCAAGUCGAGCGAGCGGCGGACGGGUGAGUAAUGUCUGGGAAACUGCCUGAUGGAGGGGGAUAACUACUGGAAACGGUAGCUAAUACCGCAUACCAUCAGAUGUGCCCAUAUGGGAUUAGCUAGUAGGUGGGGUAAUGGCUCACCUAGGCGACGAUCCCUAGCUGGUCUGAGAGGAUGACCAGCCACACUGGAACUGAGACACGGGCCAGACUCCUACGGGAGGCAGCAGUGGGGAAUAUUGCACAAUGGGGGCAAUCCUGAUGCAGCCAUGCCGCGUGUGUGAAGAAGGCCUUCGGGUUGUAAAGUACUUUCGGCGGGGAGGCGGUAUCUGCAGAAGAAGCACCGGCUAACUCCGUGCCAGCAGCCGCGGUAAUUC
rnacentral:rRNA from 1 species